AACGACUCUCGGCAACGGAUAUCUCGGCUCUAGCAUCGAUGAAGAACGUAGCGAAAUGCGAUACUUGGUGUGAAUUGCAGAAUCCCGCGAACCAUCAAAUCUUUGAACGCAAGUUGCGCCCGAAGCCAUCCGGCAGAGGGCACGCCUGGCUGGGUGUCGUGA
rnacentral:rRNA from 1 species